rnacentral:rRNA from 1 species
AGAGUUUGAUCCUGACUCNAGGACGAACGCUGGCGGCGUGCUUAACACAAGCAAGUCGAACGGUGACCCUCGGAGCUUGCUCUGAAGCGAUCAGUGGCGAACGGGUGAGUAACACGUGAGUAACCUGCCCCAGACUCUGGGAUAACCCCGGGAAACCGGAGCUAAUACCGGAUAUGACACGAAGAGGCAUCUCUAUCGUGUGGAAAGUUCUUCGGUCUGGGAUGGACUCGCGGCCUAUCAGCUUGUUGGUGAGGUAAUGGCUCACCAAGGCGACGACGGGUAGCCGGCCUGAGAGGGCGACCGGCCACACUGGGACUGAGACACGGCCCAGACUCCUACGGGAGGCAGCAGUGGGGAAUAUUGCACAAUGGGCGCAAGCCUGAUGCAGCGACGCCGCGUGAGGGAUGACGGCCUUCGGGUUGUAAACCUCUUUCAGCAGGGAAGAAGCGAAAGUGACGGUACCUGCAGAAGAAGCACCGGCUAACUACGUGCCAGCAGCCGCGGUAAUACGUAGGGUGCGAGCGUUGUCCGGAAUUAUUGGGCGUAAAGAGCUUGUAGGCGGUUUGUCGCGUCUGCUGUGAAAAUUCGGGGCUCAACCCCGAACUUGCAGUGGGUACGGGCAGACUAGAGUGUGGUAGGGGAGACUGGAAUUCCUGGUGUAGCGGUGAAAUGCGCAGAUAUCAGGAGGAACACCGAUGGCGAAGGCAGGUCUCUGGGCCACUACUGACGCUGAGAAGCGAAAGCAUGGGGGAGCGAACAGGAUUAGAUACCCUGGUAGUCCAUGCCGUAAACGUUGGGAAACUAGGUGUGGGUCUCAUUCCACGAGAUCCGUGCCGCAGCUAACGCAUUAAGUUCCCCGCCUGGGGGAGUACGGCCGCAAGGCUAAAAACUCAAAGGAAUUGACGG